rnacentral:rRNA from 1 species
UCAAGAGUANGUGAAACCGUUCAGGGGUAAACCUGAGAAACCCGAAAGGUCGAAUGGGGAAAUUCAUUCGCGUUUCGAACGUCGGCGUUGAGCGGUUGCGUGACGGACGGAGUCCGCUUCGUCCGCUCCUUCCGUUUUUCGAACCGACUUCGAACGCGUGCACUUUUCCCCUAGUAGGACGUUGCGAUCCGUUGGGUGUCGAUUUAAGGUCCGCGAAGGAGCUCGCGUAGACGUUUCGGCGUUCUAUACGAACUCGCGGUGUCCCGAUCGACUGCUCGACGGUAUAUAGAUGGCGCGGGGCCGCUACUUUCAGUUAGCGUUCGACCUACGGCAAGCACGUACGGAGUCGACGGCGAUCAGACCUGGUCGGAUCCCGUCCCCGGACGACUGUUGGCUCACGUAGUGUUCUCGAACAGACCUCGUCGAAACGCCGAUCUGCGACGCUAUAGCUUUGGGUACUUUCAGGACCCGUCUUGAAACAC